rnacentral:rRNA from 1 species
UACAGAGGGGGCAAGCGUUGUUCGGAAUUACUGGGCGUAAAGGGCGCGUAGGCGGUCCGGUAAGUCCUGUGUGAAAUCCCUCGGCUCAACUGAGGAACUGCACGGGAGACUGCCGGGCUUGAGUUCGGGAGAGGGAAGCGGAAUUCCGGGUGUAGCGGUGAAAUGCGUAGAUAUCGGGAAGAAUACCCGUGGCGAAGGCGGCCAGCUGGGCCAGGUCCGACACUGAGGCGCGAAAGCGUGGGGAGCAAACAGG